rnacentral:misc_RNA from 1 species
UCUCCGUAGGUGAACCUGCGGAGGGAUCAUUACAGAGUUCUCGCCCUCACGGGUAGAUCUCCCACCCUCUGUUAUCGUUACUGUCGUUUCUUUGGCGGGCCGCCGGGUCCCCGGCCGCCGGCGCCUAGCUGCCGGCGCGCGCCCGCCAGAGGCCUUCAAACUCUGAAUGUUAGUGUCGUCUGAGUACUAUAUAAUAGUUAAAACUUUCAACAACGGAUCUCUUGGUUCUG